GUGUCAGCCGCCGCGGUAAGACAGAGGGGGCAAGCGUUGUCCGGACUGACUGGGCGUAAAGCGCGCGCAGGCGGUCUCGGGCGUCGGUGCUGAAAGUCCACCGCUUAACGGUGGGAUGCGUGCCGAUACGCCGAGACUGGAGGGUGGGCGAGGGUGGUGGAAUUGCCGGUGUAGUGGUGAAAUGCGUAGAGAUCGGCAGGAACACCCGUGGCGGAAGCGGCCACCUAGCCCGCACCUGACGCUGAGGCGCGACAGCGUGGGGAGCGAACGGGAUUAGAAACCCUGGUAGUCC
rnacentral:rRNA from 1 species